UACCAGCUCUCCGAGUGGUGUGGAUGUUUAUUGGGCCUAAAGCAUCCGUAGCUGGCUGGGCAAGUCCCCUGUUAAAUCCACCGAUUUAAUCGUUGGUGUGCGGGGGAUACUGUUCGGCUAGGGGACGGGAGAGGCCGACGGUAUUUUCGGGGUAGGGGUGAAAUCCUAUAAUCCCGGGAAGACCACCAGUGGCGAAGGCUGUCGGCUAGAACGCGCCCGACGGUGAGGGAUGAAAGCGUGGGGGAGCGAACCGGAUUAGAUACCCGGGUAGUCCCAGCUGUAAACGAUGCAGGCUAGGUGUUUGGGCGGCCACGUGCCGCUCUAGUGCCGCAGAGAAGUCGUUAAGCCUGCCGCCUGGGGAGUACGGCCGCAAGGCUAGAAACUUAAAGGAAUUGGCGGGGGAGCACCACAAGGGGUGAAGCUUGCGGUUU
rnacentral:rRNA from 1 species